rnacentral:tRNA from 1 species
CUUUAAGAAGCUUUAAUAGCACUAGACUUUUAAUCUAGAGAUGGAACAAAUAAGAUCCCUUAAUGG